GUCCUUAGUUACCAGCACGUUAUGUGGGCACUCUAAGGAGACUGCCGGUGGACAAACCGGAGGGAAGGUGGGGAGUGACGUCAAGUCAUCAUGGCCCUUACGGCCUGGGCUACACACGUGCUACAAUGGUCGGUACAAAGGGUUGCCAAGCCGCGAGGUGGAGCUAAUCCCAUAAAACCGAUCGUAGUCCGGAUCGCAGUCUGCAACUCGACUGCGUGAAGUCGGAAUCGCUAGUAAUCGUGAAUCAGAAUGUCACGGUGAAUACGUUCCCGGGCCUU
rnacentral:rRNA from 1 species